ACUGUAGCAUUAAACCUUUUGUGUCACAUUGCUUUGCCACUCUGCUGACGAAGUCUUCAUCUUCACUCAGGUGAUUCACCAGGAAAACAUCAAAAGGACUUCCCCUCUCACCCACAGCAACCUAAAGGGUCUAUGAGUGGGACUUACAAGGACCUUGCUGCUGUCUGGAUUGAUGACACUAGGCAGACUGGAUACAUGGGUGUUCAUCUGUCACUCAAAAUUGGCUGGACUCUCAGCGAUAGUAGCAAGGCUCACCCCAUCUUUUGGAAAUAUUUGAGGACUUGGCUGAAGGUGAAGACCAUAAAUUCAUCAAGGAUCGUUUCAGAGCCAAAAGCAGUGAAGCAGAAAGCAAGACCAUCAGCGGAAAGUGAAGAUGGAGCAGUAGGUACCACAAAUUUGAGGAGAAAACAAUCACUCAUACAUGAAUGCAUCUCAUGGUUCGAUCUCAACCAGCCACAGAGACCACUGAUGAAUCAGUCCCUGGAUGGUGCAGGCAACCUCAACAUUACCCACCUCCUACCCGGCUUCUAUCAGCCUUCCUGAGAGUGGUAUUAUUUAGAAAUUCUCUUUUAUGACAUGCAAUACCUCUCUUCUUCUAGGUCCUAUAUUAUAGCCUUGAAUCAAAUCAAACUGUCAAAUGAGAUGUCUAUCAACAAAAUCUGCAAGAAAUAGUCAUAGAAAAUUUACUAUUUAACUUCCUAUUAAAAAAUCAGUGGGCUCAUUAAUGACUACUCCUUACAUAAAGUUUCAAGUGUAACAUUUCUUUAAAACAAAAAGAGAGAGAAAAAGAGUACAGGACUAGGAAAGUCUUCACUACCCUAAAAGAAAUUGUGUGUGCUUCCUGUUUCUUAAUAAGGGUAAGUCAAAAUUACAGCCCAGAAGCCUGCUGACUUCUCUGGGUUCUCCCAGCCCUAUUCACAGUAAAAGUUCUACCUCACCAUUAUCAGGCAACAUGGCUACUCCAGCCCUUACUUGCUGUCUCUUAAGUUCAUAUCUCCAUCUCUUCUUGCUUUUCUUCUAUUUUUCUUAAGCCUUUAAGUCUUGCUCUUUGAUUCAUUCAUGCAAUAAAUGUAUUGAAAUAUAUUGAGAGUCCACUAUGUAUUAAAUAUUAUGCUAUGUACCAGAGAUUAUGAAUAAGACAGAAACAGUCAUGGAGUUUGCAAUUUAAGUGAGGUUUAGCUGUUUUACAAACCCAUGAUUUUUCUGUUGAAAUUCCAGGCUUUGUACAGCUCAGUUAGUCCCCAGUAUUGGUCCUCCUGGUCCAGAGGCCCCUGCAGACAUUACGUGCCCAUCAAGGAGCUGAACAGCAAGGUGAUGAAAAUCGAAGUUCUACUCAUUUGCAACCUCCUGCUAAGGGGCAGAUUCUGCCAAAGGCUACUGACUUUUGAGGAUGUUCUAAUUCCCCUGACAUGAUCUUUGUCUACCUCUUCACCCACUCUGUUCCUUGCAUGCUCUACUUAGUACUUAAUUAUCCCAUUUCCCUGAUCACUCUGUCUUUCAAUUUUUUAUGUCUUUGCAAAUGCUGUUCCUUCUUACCCUUCCUUUGCCAACUCAUCCAUCUGGCAUACUCCCAUUUAUCAUUCAAAUUACUGCUUAGGACACCUUCUCCUAGAUGCCUGCUGGCAUCUCCUCUAUUCUUUUCCUCCUUCCCCAAAGUACUCCCUCCCUCUUCUGUACUGGAGUGGUAGAGUGCAACAGUUUCUAGCUUGCUUUCCAAAGUCAAAUUCAUCUGAGUUCAUCUCCUGGAUGUACCACUUAGUCACUAUGUGGCCUUGAACAAUGUAUAUAAUCUUUCUGGGUCCCAGUUUUGUGAUAUGCAAACUUUCCUGAUAGACAGUAAUACUAUCUAUCCCAUAGGAUUGUUCAAAUUAAAUUAUAUAAAGAAUACACAGUACUUAGAACAGAUUCAGACACAUAGGAAGCAAUUUUACCAUUGGUCAUAUGACAUUAGGUUAUAGUUAUUUAUUUAGGUUCGCUCUAUCCCACUAGAAUGGCAGCUCCUUAAGAGUAAGAACGAUGUUUUAUUCAUCACAGGGCCCAGCAUACAGUAAAUGUGGGUUCUGAACUGAACCUAAUAACGGUAUAAAAUAUGUAUAUCAUAAUUCAUUGCAAUUCAAAUGCAAGGAAUUUUAAAUAACAACUCAUAGGGACAGCUGUGCUAACUGCAAUUAGAGAUCACCCUGUUCCCAUGGCCUUUUAAAAACUUCCUCUUCCUAUAUGGCUUAACAUCCAUCAUUCUACAGUUAUCUAUCAAAUGCCUGCUAGGUGCCAAAGCAGUGGAGAUACCUUAGUGAAUGUUGGCAGCCCACACCUCCAGAAAAGAAAUGAACAAGUAAACCAGCUCUAUUAGUCCAUUCUCGCAUUUCUAUAAAGAAAUGUCUGAGACUGGGUAAUUUAUAAAGAAAAGAGGUUUAAUUCGCCCACAGUUCCACAGGCUGUACAGGAAGCAUGGCAGCAUCUCCUUCUGAGGAGGCCUCAGGGAGUUUUCACUCAUGGCAAAAGGCAAGGAGGGAGCAGAUAUCUUACAUGGCAAGAGCAGGACUGAGAAGGAGUGGGGAGGUACUACACACUUUUUUUUUUGAGAUGGAGUCUGGUUCCGUCGCCAGGCUGGAGUGUAGUGGCGCGAUCUCGGCUCACUGCAACCUCUACCUCCCAGGUUCAAGGAUUCUCCUGCCUCAGCCUCCCGAGUAGCUGGAACUACAGGCACGCUCCACAACACCCAACUAAUUUUUGUAUUUUUAGUAGAGAUGGGGUUUCACCAUGUUGGCCAGGAUGGUCUCGAUCUCUUGACCUUGUGAUCUGCUCACCUCAGCCCCCAAACUGCUGGGACUACAGGCGUGAGCCACCGCGCCCACCCUACACACUUGAACAACCAGAUCUAACAGUAACUCACUCACUAUCAUGAGAACAGCGCCAAGGGAACGGUGCUAAACUAUUCAUGAGGAACCACCCCCGUGAUCCAAUCACCUCCCACCAGGCCCCACCUCCAACAGCGAGGAUUACAAUUGAACAUGAUAUUGGGGUGGGGACACAGAUCCAAACCAUAGCUACUGUAACCGCCUAAUGGGUCCACCUGGCCCGUUGCCUAGACAGAGCCGAUUUAUCAAGACAGGGGAACUGUAAUGUUGAAAGAGUGAUUACACAGAACCAGCUGUGCAAGAGACCAAAUUUUAUUAUUACUCAAAUCAGUCUCCCCGAGCACUCAGGGAUCAGAGUUUUUAAAAAUAAUUUGGCGAGUAUGGGCUCGGAUAGUGAGGAGUGCUGAUUGGCUGGGUUGAAGAUGAAAUUAUAGGGGGUCGAAGUGAGUUCUUUCUUGCUGACUUCUGCUCCUGGGUGGGAUUGCAGAACUGGUUGAGCCAGAUUAUUUGUAGGUCUGGGUGGUGUCAUCAUCUGCUGCAUAAGAAUGCAGGGUCUGCAAAAUAUCUCAAGCACUGAUCUUAGGUUUUACAACAGCGAUGUUAUUCCCAGGAGCAAUUUGGGGAAGUUCAGACUCUUGCAGCCAGAGGCUGUAUGGCAUGGCAUAAUUUCUAAUUUUGUGGCUAAUUUGUUAGUCUUACAAAGGCAGACUGGUCCCCAGGCAAGAAGGGGUUUUUCGGGAAAGGGCUAUUAUCAAUUUUGUUUCAGAGUUUAAACUAUAAAUUCCUUUCCAAGGCUAGUUUGGCCUACGCCCAGGAAUGAACAAGGACAGCUUAGAGGUCAGAAGCAAGAUGGAGUCGGUUAAGUCUGAUCUCUUACACUGUCAUAAUUUCCUCAGUUAUGAUUUUUACAAAGGUGGUUUCAUUACCAGCUUAUACCAUAAAGUCCUGCUGGGAGUCACAGUGGGAUACCAUGCAAAAUGCUGUGAGAAAACUUCAGAGAAGCAACUAACCAAUUUUUGGAGUCCAAGAAAGGAAAUCCUGCUGGAAUUAGGAGACCAUAGACUUUUCGAAGUGUACCCUUUACCCACUUACCCACUAAGUGAUCAACCUGUUGCCCAGAGGCGCCCCUUGUCCAGAGACAUCCUGUGCUAACUUGUUCUUGCAUUGCUAUAAAGAAAUCACCUCAGACUAGGUGAUUUAUAAAGAAAACAGGUUUAAUUGGCUCAGGCUUCUGCAGGAUGUAGAGGAAGGAUGCAUCUGCUCAGCUUCUGGGGAGGCCUAAGGGAACUUUUACUCAAGAUAAAGGUGCAGCGGGAGGAGGCAUGUCAAAGGCAAAGACAGGAGCAAGAGAGAAAGUGGGGGGAGGUGCAAAACACUUUUAAAGGACCAGAUCGCUCAAGAACUCAUGCACUACUGAGAGGACAGCACCAAGUCAUCAGGGAUCCACCCACAUGACUCAAACACCUCCCUCCAGGCCCCACCUCCAACGCUAGGGAUUACAUUUUAACAGGAGAUUUGGUGGGGACGCAUAUUCAAACUAUAUCACACACUUCUGUUACUAUUAAGGACAGAUUCUGAACAGCAGUGCCUUAGGGUCUUGGACAACGCUAACUUCCUUACAGCAUUACUCCCGGAAGGAUAUCCAGCCCUUAGAAGCUGAUAUAGUUAAAAGCAAAUAGAUUGUAAAAACCAUAAAAUGCCUGGGGCCAUGCUAACUAGAGCUCUGAGGCCUCUGAGAAUUGACUGCAGUAAAUCUUCCUGUCUUAUGCAACCACAUGUCUCUUCUUAGAAGGAUCCAGGUUUUUUCAAAUCACCCGUUAAAAUUAUUCAUCCAUAAAUUAUUUUUAUUAUGAUCUAAAAGGCUUUAAUUCUGUUUGAUGUAAUCCGUGCUUUACAUACAAAACAUUCUGAGAUAAUCUCUAAGUUUUCAUCAAUUUAUUAGACAUCUACUGAGGUGCCAUGAUCAUUAUCACAAACUGAAGGGUUUUCAUAUCUUGACUUUUUUAAUUCUUUGUCUCCAAUCUUAAUUAUCACACACUCAAUUUUCCCACACCUGUAGGUUUAUUUAUAUAGUGAAGUAAUUUGGGGAAGGGUAUAAAUACACUGAAGAAUGCAAAAGUCAACAGAAUCCCUCAUCAGACUUUCAAAUGGCUUCUGGACAUAGCUCAGCUGUCUCCUUUCUGGAACUUCCAAACUGUAUAGCAGGGGCUCCUUCCUUUAUCUGAGCAUCACACUAGGGCAUGCUCAGGACAGUUCUCUUUAAUUCAUACUUUUUUUUCUUUCCAUGUCAACUACAGUACUUUGCCCCUGGUAUCACUAACAGAAUAUAAUUCCAGGUGUUGAAUUUGAGUUCAUUGGUAAAGGUUAAGGGCUCUGAUUGUCUGGAAGAACUCAGUUUGAAUUUUAACUCAGCCACUGACUAGCUGUGUGACCUUGGGAAAUUUACGUCACAUCUCUAGACCUAGUUUCCUUAUCUGAAUAGAGUGGUUAUAAAGAUUGCAUGAGAUAACAUAUGUGAAAAGCUUAGAUCAUUUUAAUAACCAAGAAUCUUUCUGUUUUACAUGUAUUAACUCAUUUAUCCCUUAUAAGAUGACCAUCCCAUGGGACACUUAGGGAUAUAUGUCAUGUCACUAUUUUACAGGGAGUUCAUAUCUCCCCUACAUGGUACAUUCUGUAACUCCCAGUCACAAAGAUGAAGGCCAGCUUUCUUACCAAGGCCAGGCUUGAGGUGCUAGUUGCUCUAGGCAUACAAGCCCUCAAACCCUUCUAAAUAGCGCUUUUCACAUGCUCCACGCAGCUGUUUCCCUGAGAUAGGCAGCCUGCAACUCUUUGCACUAGCUGCAAACAUGUCUCUGCAUUUUAGUCCGACAGAGCUGGCUUUGCUGACAUCAAGGACGUGGUGCAAAGCACAGCUCUUUAGUUUCCAAAUGAAUGAAAAUGACAUAUUGAAAGCGGGGCUGGCCACAGUAUCUAGCUAGAAAACAAUAAUGACUCACAGGAAAGACAAAGACUGAGUAAGCACCAACGAAAGGCCACUCAUCCCUUCAUUAACAUCACUGGGGAAAAUAUGGUCUCACUAUGGAACAACCAAAAACAUACAGACAAAAGUCUCCUGGGCUUUUGAGCAUAGUCUAAUUCCCAUCUGGCUUAUAAAUUUCCUAACUUCUAAAUUAAUUACACUAGGAGUUGGAAGAGAAUAAACAGUGGCCAUAGAUAUUAGAAAUUUUUACAUGUGGCAUGUAUCUGCAUCACGACUAGCAUUGCUAAUCAAUUGUGAAAUGACUAUUAGGUAGCUUUGAUAAGAGAGUUUCUUAUUAGUCUUAGAUAUUGGACUACAAAAAUAGUCCACCAGCAACAAAAAGAGAUUGAAUCUUCUUUACUACAUCUGUAUAUUGUCAGAGGUCCAGACAGAAAUCUAAAAAAUAUAUAAGAAUAAAUAAAAUAUUUAUUGUGAUACUCCUUCCUUGUUUAAUAUAUUAUCAUGACAAUACAUGUCUUAAUGCUAUGUAAUUUUGGCAUAUCUUAAAUAUAAAAGUGUCCAAUUGAUUCAUUAUUUUUAUAGCUAAUUAUUCAAUAUAUUAACAAUUAUAUUUGUGCAACAAAAACAUAUCUUGAUUUUUAAUGCUGGUAAAUGUUAAGAUUUUGAAGUAAAAAUACUAUUUACAUAAUAUUCCUGAGAAAAAUUAUUCAGGUAAAAGGCUCUUGUGAAUCACUUUCUUGGGGACCUUGCAGGAAUUACCAACAAAAAUUGAGAGCCAUAAAGGAAAUGUCUGAAAUAUUAGAGGCUGUGUGUCAAAGUAUCUUGUAUUAACUAAAUCAAGCGCUUAUUAACAGAAGACAAACCUUGUAUAUAUUUUUAAUGUUUUUGGCUCCCCAGCAUCUAAGCCCCUUCACUAUGCAUGAGAAACCUCAUGAGGCAGAGCCCACCUCCCACUCUAGAAGCUGAACAUUCUAAGUACUAGCUUGCCUGGCCUCUCUUGCAGCUAGGAUGAUGGCAUGUGGCUUUGAGUCAUCUGAUUGGAUGCAUUCCCCUCACAUUUUGAACCCAGAGCUCAUGACCAAAGAAGGAGGAACCUCAAGGAGUCCAUUCUGGCAAGGGUAAUAGCAGGGACAGAAGCUAUAUUCAUUUUGCAGAAGCAGCAAGCAUAACAAUUCUAGUGGCCACCUCCAGUGCCAGCAUCAGGCUGGAGGUAAGACAAGCUGUGGUGUCAGUGCCUAUUGGCAGAGGCAUUGAUAUCUUCCUGGAAUACUUCUGUUGCAUAAUGUUGGUCAUAGUGCCAGGCUCCACAGCCUCCAAGCUCAGUUCUCCAGCACUUCUAGAGACUGUCAGGCAUACCAAUAUUCUUUAAUAAAUUCUAUCACAUGAGACCAGAAUCCUGAUUAUUUCAUUGUUUUUACUUUAGAAAACAUUGGACUUCUUUUAAAAUAAAAAAUGAACAAAGUUUUCAAUAUUUAUUUUUAAAAAUAUUUACUCCAGCUAUAUAUUAUAGCUUGGGGAAUGAGGUAGUUUCUCAAGCAAGCCAAGGUAAUGCACAGGCUAAUUAGUUAAGAGAGAAAAGGACACAGAAACACAAGUUUUGCAAUGGCAAGGCAAUUGUCAGCCUUGAGAUUGCAAAAACAUGUGCUGUGAGUUUGGGGUAUUCUCACUUUAAAUCCCAGAAUAUAGUUUCCAGGAGGCAAUGACUGUGUAUUAACAUGCAAUGUGCAUCAGCAUUUAACUGUUUUCUCUUACCUCUGCAGUCCUCAUACCAUACUUUGGCUUCCAGCCUGUUCUCUCUCCUCAGCUGACUGGCCUACUAAGGGGGCGUGGCUUUGGGAGAAAUUCCCAACCACUGAGAACAUCUUGGAAAUCCUAGGUCGGGCUAGGGGCAGUGGCUCACGCCUGUAAUCCCAGCACCCUGGGUGGCUGAGAUGGGCAGAUCACCUGAGGUCAGGAGUUCAAGACCAGCAUGGUCAACAUGGUGAAAUCCCGUCUCUACCAAAAAUACAAAAAUUAGCUGGGUGUGGUGACACACACCUGUAAUCCCAGCUGCUUGGGAGGCUGAGGGGGGAGAAUCUCUUGAACUUGGGAGGUGGAGGUUGCAGUGAGCCGAGAUCGCGCCACUGCACUCCAGCCUAGGCAACAGAGCAAGACUGUCUCAAAAAAAAAAAAAAAAGAAUAGAAGGAAAGACUCCUAGGUCAACCUUCUGGCCCCAUUGAACUUGCUCUCAUUUUAUUAAUUCUCUUUCCACUUUCUUGUCAGAGUUCCUUAAUACAAUUUUGCUUCUUUAAAGAAGAUCCUUAACAAUGUAUUGUACACAGUACUUGAAAAUUGCUAAGAGAGUAGAUUUUAAAUGUCUCACCACAAAAAAAUAAGGUGAGAUAAUGCAUAUGCUAAUUAGUUUGAUAUAGUCAUGCCACAAUAUAUACAAAUAUCAAAAUAUCACAUUGUACACCAUAAGUAUAUAUAAUGAUUGCCAAUAAAAAUAAUUAAUUUCUUAAAAAAGGAGAGUCUUGGCUAGUCUACUGCAUUUCAACCUAAUUCUUAGGAACUAAAAUCAUAGCAGUGACUUGUGCAUGUGUAGACCGUUCUGGCUUGAGUUGGCCAAAUAUUAUCUCUCACUAGCAUUAAGGAAUUUCUUCCUCCUGUAAUUCUGAAAGAACAGAAAACCAUCUGAGAAAAUUAUAUCCAUCCUAUUCCCAGAGAGUAGUGCCACUUUAGCAAAGUAUCUUAACAAAGGGUUUUUAAAAAUUAACUUAAUAAUUCCAUUUAAAAAUGUUUGUCUUAGUAAGUUAAAAGGUUAUUCAGGACGUGGAUGAUUCAGGGUGGUUGUGUUUUAUAAAGUGCUUUCCAAAGCAAACAUCUAUGACAUUUUGAACAUAUCUUUUUUUUAGAGAUGGAUCUUUUUUCUCGCUCUGUCACCCAGGCUAGGAGUGCAGUGGCAUAAUCUCAGCUCACUGCAACCUCCACCUCCCAGGUUCAAGCAAUUUUCCUACCUCAGCCUCCCAAGUAGCUGGGAUUACAGGCGCCUGCCACCACACCCUGCUAAUUUUUGUAUUUUUAGUAGAGAUGGGAGUUUCACCAUGUUGGCCAGGCUGGUAUUGAACUCUCAACCUCAGGUGAUCUGCCCACCUUGUCCUACCGAACUGCUGGGAGCCACCGCACCCGGCUGCAUUUAGAACAUAUCUACUUAUUAAAGGAGAAGCCAAGCAGUAGCGAAAUACACUAACUUAUUCACAGUACACAGCUCGUCCCAACUGGAACUGCAUAGUUGGGACUCAAAACCAGGCAUUAGACUUCAAACCUCAUUUUUUUCCUCAACAUAACUACGCCUGCCACAUCCAGAGCCAAGAGCCAUUUCUAAGGGAAACUGUUCCAUCUGGAGCCCCAAGAGCAGCCUUAGCCGACCAUGGUGGUUUUGUUUUACCCCUCUCUGGUCUCCACGGAUUGAACAGGAUUGGGUAACUGACCCCAAAAAAAAGCCAAUCCACAGAUUGGUCAGCAGCCUGUAGGAUGGCCUGGCACAAAAACUUUUGACUCAACAGAGGUGAUCUGAGUCAACCAGAUUCUAGCUGACUCUUGUUGCUUCUAAUCAAGAGACUCCAGUUGACUCAAUCUUUCUGGAGAUAAUUGUAUACAUUAUUCUGAUUAACUGAUUGCGUAGAAUAACCUUGUUCAACUUUCUAUUUCACCACUCUUAGGAAAACAUGUCCUAACAGAACAAGAUAUUACAUGUUUGGAAGUUCCCAAUCUUCUUAACUUCUGAUAAACAGUUUUUCUUUUAGAAAUACUUGCUCCUUUGAUUCCUUGGCUCCACACAGUCUUGGUCCUCUAUUUUUUGGUGCCUCCUUCCUCUAUGUUCUAGAUAAUAUGCUGAGUGUUUUACAUAAAUUAUUUUAUUGAAGGCUCAUGACAAUCCCAUAAAGUAAACACUAUCCCCAUUUUACAGAUGGAGAAAGCGAGGCACAGGGAGAUACUGUUGGUCUGGAUCAGGGUUGUGGUAGAGAAGGGAAGAGGACAGAUUACAGAUAUAUUUUGAAAGCAGAACCAACAAGGCCCGGUUGCUGAAUUAGAUGUGGAAGUGAGGGAAAGGACGAAUCAAGGAUGAUGCUUAAGUAACAGGGUGAAUUGUGUUGCCAUUUGUCCAGCCAACGGCUCAUCUCUAAUUGGAUAUUCCAGAAGUAUCUCAAGGUCAACAUGUCUAAAACUGAAUUCAUCAUUUUUUUUCCACAAGACCUUCUCUUUUUCAAAUAUUUUCUUCUUCAAAGAAUUUCAUCAUCACUGUUAUUAGUGGCAAGUGCUUUAUAGAAAGGGAUACAAAUGAGAGAAACAAUAAAAACUAUAAUAAACAUUUUUCUAGAAUUUCAAAUUGUUUCCUCCCAACUUUUUCAUUUGUUUACUAGGCUUUUAGCUCCCUCAUUUAACCAUAAGCUUCUCAGGAACAGAGCUUGUGUCUGUAAUUAGACCUAACAUUGAUUGAGUAUUUUCUAAAUGUCAUGGCUUGUGCUAAGCCGUGGCUGCAUCACCCACGUAACUCUCCUUACAACCACGCCUCAUGAGGCUGUUAAGAAUAAGGUUAGACUGCCUGAGUUCAAAUCCUGUCUCCGUCGUGUGAUUUGGGACAAGUUAUUCAACUUUUCUGUGCCUUGGUUAUCACAUGGUACUCUGAGAGUAUAGAGGAAAGACAUGUAACCCAGAUAGAUGAGAUCAAAGAAGGCUUUCUAGAAUGGAAUGAAAUGCCAAGUUAAAUCUUCAUUCGCAGAGCUAUUAGGGGAAAGGUGUUGCAGGCAGAGAGAGCAGCUGAUGUGAAGGCCAGGAAGUAAAGUGAAACAUGGAGGUUUGAUAACUGCCAGUGCCAUUUAUCAAGAGCAGGAAAGGGACAUGAACGUAAAUGUUUACAAGCACCAGGCAAGUAAGGAAAAUAAGUGAGGCUGGCUGGGGGUAAGACAAUGGGAAGAUGUGGGUUCCUGAGGCAAACUGCUGAGCCCAGGACUCACCUGAAGGGGCCACCUCUACUGAGGUCACACUCCCCUCCCUCACCAAGUUCCAAUACACUGCUUAUACUGUCUGGAGGCUCCUUCACUUGCUAUAUGCUCCACCUGCAAAUUGCUUUGCAAGGCUGGCUCCUGAACAUCAUUUCAGCUCAAAUGGCAUUUGAAAGAUGCCUCCUCUGAUUACCACCCACAUGCCAGCUCCAGACCUGUCAGUACUCCACUCUAGUUUAUUUCUUCUGAGCACUUACUAUUACGUGAAAUUAUUUUGUUCAUUUGUUUAUGUGUACAUUUUGUGUCUUUAAUUGUAUGUUGGGUAUAUAAUAUAAACUGUAUUGGAGCAGGAAACUUUUCCAACACCUACAACAAUAGCUGACACACAGUAGAAGCUCAACAAAGCCCAUUUAUUAAUUUUGAAUAAUCAAGUGAUGGUUUUAUUGUACACUUACUCCGUGCCAGGUACAAUGGACUACAGUGAUAGAUUUGACAAUCAUCAGAACAUAGGUAGUAGCUAAAAACACAGGAAUGUGUGAGAAAAGCCAGGGCAUGUGGGUGGAGCCAAAAGAUAACAGAUCAAGAGAAAUUCAUUGUAGGCCUCAACAUACAAAGAAAAACCCCAAAGAGACUGAUCAGGAUAGCAAGGGGAGGAUCCAGGAAAGAAGUGGUAUCACAGAAGCCAAAGGAAAACAGAAUCCACAGUGUAAGUCAUGACUUUAUGAGAUAUUCUGCUUCUGGCUGAUUACAAUGUACAACAGAUUCCUAGAUAUCUAAAGACUUCACUCAUUGCUGUUUCUCACUGUGCCCAUUUAGAGAUCUCUCUGCAGAAAGUCUCACCUGUAUAUUUACCAUCUGUCUGCAUUUCCUGUGAUAUAUCCCAAUAGUGAUGCCAUGUCUGUUCUCUUUUUACCUUAUUCAAAUAAACUUUCCUACAUUUUCACCUUUGGCAAACAAAUUUCCAUUCAUAUACCAUACCACUACUCUGCCUCUCCUAUAAAAUUAUUUAUUUAUUAACAAGACAGAAUCUACCAUACUUAUAUUCUGAUCCUGAUCUGCUCCCCAGCCAUCAAAAUCUUGAUAGUAUCAUAAGUCUACAGUUUUCAGCCUGUGUUAAGUGAAGGUUGAAGCCAUAAGCAUCCUAUCUGGCCCCCUUCUCAGCAAAUAUAUAUGUGUAUGUAUAUAUAUAUAUGUGUGUAUAUAUAUGUAUAUAUGUGUAUAUAUAUGUAUGUGUAUAUAUAUGUGUGUGUGUGUGUAUAUAUAUAUAUAUAUGUGUGUGUAUAUAGGCACUUACAAUCACCUAAUAUAUGUGAUUAAAAAAAACUGAGUU
rnacentral:lncRNA from 1 species